rnacentral:rRNA from 1 species
UAGGGAAUCUUCGGCAAUGGACGAAAGUCUGACCGAGCAACGCCGCGUGAGUGAAGAAGGUUUUCGGAUCGUAAAACUCUGUUGUUAGAGAAGAACAAGGACGUUAGUAACUGAACGUGCCCUGACGGUAUCUAACCAGAAAGCCACGGCUAACUACGUGCCAGCAGCCGCGGUAAUACGUAGGUGGCAAGCGUUGUCCGGAUGUAUUGGGCGGAAAGCGAGCGCAGGCGGGUUCUUAAGUCUGAUGUGAAAGCCCCCGGCUCAACCGGGGAGGGUCAUUUGCGACUGGGAGACUUGAGUUCAGAAGAGUAGAGUGGAAUUCCAUGUGUAGCGGUGAAAUGCGUAGAUAUAUGGAGUAACUCCAGUGGCGAAGGCUGCUCUCUAGUCUGUAACUGACGCUGAGGCUCGAAAGCGUGGGGAGCAAACAGG